rnacentral:rRNA from 1 species
GAUGAACGCUGGCGGUGUGCUUAACACAUGCAAGUCGAACGAAGCACUCUAUUUGAUUUUCUUGGGAAAUGAAGUUUUUGUGACUGAGUGGCGGACGGGUGAGUAACGCGUGGGUAACCUGCCUAAUACAGGGGGAUAACAGUGGGAAACGACUGCUAAACCCGCAUAAGCGCAAAGUAUUGAAUGAUACAGGGGGAAACCCUCCGGUGGAAUGAGAUGGACCCGCGUCGGAUUAGCUAGUUGGGGGGGCAACGGCCGACCAAGGCGACGAUCAGGAGCCGACCUGAGAGGGUGCACGGACACAUUGGUACUGAGACACGGCCCAAACUCCGACGGGAGGAAGCAGUGGGGAAUAUUGCACAAGGGGGGAAACCCUGAUGCAGCGACGCCGCGUGAACUAAGAAGUAUGUCGGUAUGUAAAGUUCUAUCAGCAGGGAAGAUAAUGACGGUACCUUACUAAGAAGCACCGGCCAAAUACGUGCCAGCAGCCGCCGUAA